GCCUGGCUAGCUCAGUCGGUAGAGUAUGAGACUCUUAAUCUCAGGGUCGUGGGUUCAUGCCCCAUGUUGGGCG
rnacentral:tRNA from 1 species